rnacentral:rRNA from 1 species
AUAGGAAGGAACUCGGCAAACAUGAACUUCGCCUGUUUACCAAAAACAUCGCCUCUUGCAAUUAAGGAUUAGAGGUGCUGCCUGCCCAGUGACAUUAAGUUUAACGGCCGCGGUAUUAUGACCGUGCAAAGGUAGCGUAAUCACUUGUCUUUUAAAUAAAGACCAGUAUGAAUGGCAAGACGAAAGUUCAACUGUCUCCCUAAAUUAAUCAGUGAAAUUGAUUUCUCCGUGCAGAAGCGGAGAUAUAAUUAUAAGACGAGAAGACCCUAUGGAGCUUUAAACAUAUAAUCAAUUGUAUCCAUAAAAUCCGAAAGAUAAAAUAUAAUAAAAUAAACAAUAUGAUUAAAAUUUUAGGUUGGGGCGACCACGGAGAAAAACAAAACCUCCGAGAUGAAAAGAAUAUCUUAAUUUAAGAACCACAAUUCCAAAAAAAUAAAAUAUUUAACAUAAUUGAUCCAAUAUUUUGAUCAACGAACCAAGUUACCCUAGGGAUAACAGCGCAAUCCUCUCCAAGAGUCCCUAUCGACGAGUGGGUUUACGACCUCGAUGUUGGAUCAGGACACCCG